UAAACCCCAUCGACCCGCCAAGCCCAAGGCCCAACCCGCAAGUACAACGUUAAGCCAAGACUGAAGAAAGUGAAGAGAGAGAGAGAGAGCCAUGGCCUCCUAUCGUGUCUGGUGUCAAUCGCAGCCGUCGAUUCAAAAUUCGACAGCUCCGGCGAGUGGCACGUCCUUCGUUCUCUCAGUUCCGGCGCUGGCAAAUUAAGUUCAAUAUUAUCGUAAGGCUGUUACAACUUACUAGUAUAUGCUGGCAAAGGUCAAACCGUAAUCCACUUUCUUUGUGUGACUUCAUCAAACCUGAACUUUCUGUAAGGCUAGCAGAAAAUACUGCACUUUGAGGUUAUAUGCGGCUUGUUUCUGCUAGUAUCUUCAAGUACAUACUGUCUAGGGGUAUUAUUCCCUCUUGGCGACACUUUGGAAGCGUAUCUCAUCUUCCAAACAGGGUCUGUUCCAAAAUCAAAGAAAGGAAGAGCUGAAAUGAGACAUGUCAUGUAGCUUGUUAUCAAAGUCAAGUCAGAUAGAUCAAUAGCCACAGCAUCAGGGGUUCUGCUAAACCCUUUCCUCAAGGCCCAGCUACAUUCAUUUUUGUUCAGAAAGAGUGAUGGAAUUCACUAUGAAUCUAUUACAGAUGUGCGCUUAUUGUGCCGUCUUGGGUCUGCAAUGACAUCAAAUUACAAGGAGGAGCCUCACAUGCCCCUCAACACAUUACACAGCUAGGGAUAUUGCAUCACAUUUCAGAUUUUUUUUUUCAACAAUGGUUUAGACCAUACGGGCUAUAUCUAGCGGUAUGCUGUACUUU